AUUGAACGCUGGCGGCAUGCCUUACACAUGCAAGUCGAACGGUAACAGGUCUUCGGAUGCUGACGAGUGGCGAACGGGUGAGUAAUACAUCGGAACGUGCCUAGUAGUGGGGGAUAACUACUCGAAAGAGUGGCUAAUACCGCAUGAGAUCUACGGAUGAAAGCAGGGGAUCGCAAGACCUUGUGCUACUAGAGCGGCCGAUGGCAGAUUAGGUAGUUGGUGGGAUGAAAGCUUACCAAGCCGACGAUCUGUAGCUGGUCUGAGAGGACGAUCAGCAACACUGGGACUGAGACACGGCCCAGACUCCUACGGGAGGCAGCAGUGGGGAAUUUUGGACAAUGGGCGCAAGCCUGAUCCAGCAAUGCCGCGUGCAGGAUGAAGGCCUUCGGGUUGUAAACUGCUUUUGUACGGAACGAAAAGCCCUGGGUUAAUACCCUGGGGUCAUGACGGUACCGUAAGAAUAAGCACCGGCUAACUACGUGCCAGCCGCCGCAGUAAUAC
rnacentral:rRNA from 1 species